rnacentral:rRNA from 1 species
AUACGAACCGUCCAAACGUUAUUCGGAAUCAUUGGGCUUAAAGGGUGCGUAGGCGGCGCGGUAAGUGAGAUGUGAAAUCCCUCGGCUCAACCGAGGAACUGCGUUUCAUACUGCCGUGCUUGAGGGAGACAGGGGUAAGCGGAACUGAUGGUGGUGCGGUGAAAUGCGUUGAUAUCAUCAGGAACACCAGUGGCGAAAGCGGCUUACUGGGUCUCUUCUGACGCUGAGGCACGAAAGCUAGGGUAGCGAACGGGAUUAGAAACCCCAGUAGUCC